rnacentral:rRNA from 1 species
AUUGAACGCUGGCGGCAUGCUUUACACAUGCAAGUCGAACGGUAACAGGCCUUCGGGUGCUGACGAGUGGCGAACGGGUGCGUAAUGCAUCGGAACGUACCCAGAGGUGGGGGAUAACGCAGCGAAAGCUGUGCUAAUACCGCAUGUGAUCUGAGGCUGACAGCGGGGGACCGCGCAGCAAUGUUUGGCCUCGCGCCUUUGGAGCGGCCGAUGUCGGAUUAGCUAGUUGGUGGGGUAAAGGCCUACCAAGGCGACGAUCCGUAGCUGGUCUGAGAGGACGACCAGCCACACUGGAACUGAGACACGGCCCAGACUCCUACGGGAGGCAGCAGUGGGGAAUUUUGGACAAUGGGCGCAAGCCUGAUCCAGCAAUGCCGCGUGCGGGAAGAAGGCCUUCGGGUUGUAAACCGCUUUUGGCAGGAACGAAACGGUGUCCGCUAAUACCGGGCGCUAAUGACGGUACCUGCAGAAUAAGCACCGGCUAACUACGUG